rnacentral:misc_RNA from 1 species
GAUGAAGAACGUAGCGAAAUGCGAUACGUAAUGUGAAUUGCAGAAUUCAGUGAAUCAUCGAAUCUUUGAACGCACAUUGCGCCCCCUGGUAUUCCGGGGGGCAUGCCUGUUCGAGCGUCAUUUCACCACUCAAGUCUCGCUUGGUAUUGGGCAACGCGGUCCGCCGCGUGCCUCAAAUCGACCGGCUGGGUCUUCUGUCCCCUAAGCGUUGUGGAAACUUUCGCUAAAGGGUGUUCGGGAGGCUACGCCGUAAAACAACCCCAUUUCUAAGGUUGACCUCGGAUCAGGUAGGGAUACCCGCUGAACUUAAGCAUAUCAAUAAGCGGAGGA